AAAAAAAAGUUGUAUCUGUAUAAUGCUAUAUGUUAUUACAAUCAAUAUGCGAAAACUUUUAAAUGGUGUUAAAUGUUCACACUAUUGUAUAAAAUACUUCUACUUGGGCAGUUCUGGAGAGAUACAACUUAAGAGAUGAAUCCCUGUUGUUAAUGAUCCUAGAGAUCUAUCUAUAUAAGUUCAGAGAUUAAACUGGCAAAACUAUCUGCACAACAACACCCUCUACAAAAUCCAUAUUGAAAUUGUGGGAUAAUAUCAUUUUGGAUUCAACAUACCAGUCGAGACAAACUUUAAUCAUAGUUUCAAAUAUUUUACCAAGACAAGAUAAGGAUAUUGAUCUGUAAGAACUGGCAAGCUCCGGAGAUUUGUCAGGUUUGAGUAUGGGGAUAACACAUUGAGUUUUCCAUGACUGUGGAAUAGUUUUCUUGAACCAAAGUAGAUUUAGGAUAUUAAGGAAAACAUUCUGAGCAGAUUCAUCUAAAUUUUUAGUAAUAAUGUAAGGAUAAUCAUCGAGAGUUGUGUUUUGUCUAAACUGUAAACUCUUUGUAAAUUCCUUGCAUGUAAAUGAAUUAUGUAAAAAUUUUGAUUUUUCAUCAUUAUUCUUUAAUUUAUAUAAAUAAUCUAAGUCAUUAGUCUCAGUUAAAUCUCUUUUAUCGGAUAAGUUCUCUAGAAAUGGAGAAAUAAACUCAUCUCCAUGUGAUUUAUUGCCUACUCUUUACCUACUAUUACUCUCUACCUUUGAACAUUUUGAUGAGAUUCCAAAUCUGACUUAUUGGUGUAGUUAUAUUAAAAGUGUUACAUAAAU